rnacentral:rRNA from 1 species
GGUUAAGCGACUAAGCGUACACGGUGGAUGCCCUGGCAGUCAGAGGCGAUGAAGGGCGUGCUAAUCUGCGAUAAGCGCCGGUAAGGUGAUAUGAACCGUUAUAACCGGCGAUACCCGAAUGGGGAAACCCAGUGUGACUCGUCACACUAUCAUUAACUGAAUCCAUAGGUUAAUGAGGCGAACCGGGGGAACUGAAACAUCUAAGUACCCCGAGGAAAAGAAAUCAACCGAGAUUCCCCCAGUAGCGGCGAGCGAACGGGGAGGAGCCCAGAGCCUGAAUCAGCAUGUGUGUUAGUGGAAGCGUCUGGAAAGGCGCGCGAUACAGGGUGACAGCCCCGUACACAAAAGCGCAUGUGCUGUGAGCUCGAUGAGUAGGGCGGGACACGUGGUAUCCUGUCUGAAUAUGGGGGGACCAUCCUCCAAGGCUAAAUACUCCUGACUGACCGAUAGUGAACCAGUACCGUGAGGGAAAGGCGAAAAGAACCCCGGCGAGGGGAGUGAAAAAGAACCUGAAACCGUGUACGUACAAGCAGUGGGAGCCCCACCACUAAGCCAGUGGUGAACUCCACAUACGCAUCCUUUGCUGAGGAUACGGUUAACGGAGCGAAAGCGACGUUCAACCUCAAAAGAAGCAGAGGGGGCUUAGUGGUGGGGUGACUGCGUACCUUUUGUAUAAUGGGUCAGCGACUUAUAUUCUGUAGCAAGGUUAACCGAAUAGGGGAGCCGGAGGGAAACCGAGUCUUAACCGGGCGUUAAGUUGCAGGGUAUAGACCCGAAACCCGGUGAUCUAGCCAUGGGCAGGUUGAAGGUUGGGUAACACUAACUGGAGGACCGAACCGACUAAUGUUGAAAAAUUAGCGGAUGACCUGUGGCUGGGGGUGAAAGGCCAAUCAAACCGGGAGAUAGCUGGUUCUCCCCGAAAGCUAUUUAGGUAGCGCCUCGUGAAUUCAUCUCCGGGGGUAGAGCACUGUUUCGGCUAGGGGGCCAUCCCGGCUUACCAACCCGAUGCAAACUGCGAAUACCGGAGAAUGUUAUCACGGGAGACACACGGCGGGUGCUAACGUCCGUCGUGAAGAGGGAAACAACCCAGACCGCCAGCUAAGGUCCCAAAGUCAUGGUUAAGUGGGAAACGAUGUGGGAAGGCCCAGACAGCCAGGAUGUUGGCUUAGAAGCAGCCAUCAUUUAAAGAAAGCGUAAUAGCUCACUGGUCGAGUCGGCCUGCGCGGAAGAUGUAACGGGGCUAAACCAUGCACCGAAGCUGCGGCAGCGACGCUGAUGCGUUGUUGGGUAGGGGAGCGUUCUGUAAGCCUGCGAAGGUGGCCUGUGAGGGUUGCUGGAGGUAUCAGAAGUGCGAAUGCUGACAUAAGUAACGAUAAAGCGGGUGAAAAGCCCGCUCGCCGGAAGACCAAGGGUUCCUGUCCAACGUUAAUCGGGGCAGGGUGAGUCGACCCCUAAGGCGAGGCCGAAAGGCGUAGUCGAUGGGAAACGGGUUAAUAUUCCCGUACUUGGUGUUACUGCGAAGGGGGGACGGAGAAGGCUAUGUUGGCCGGGCGACGGUUGUCCCGGUUUAAGCGUGUAGGUGUGUGUUCCAGGUAAAUCCGGUUCACUUUAACACUGAGGCGUGACGACGAGGCACUACGGUGCUGAAGCAACAAAUGCCCUGCUUCCAGGAAAAGCCUCUAAGCAUCAGGUAACAUCAAAUCGUACCCCAAACCGACACAGGUGGUCAGGUAGAGAAUACCAAGGCGCUUGAGAGAACUCGGGUGAAGGAACUAGGCAAAAUGGUGCCGUAACUUCGGGAGAAGGCACGCUGACACGUAGGUGAAGUGAUUUACUCAUGGAGCUGAAGUCAGUCGAAGAUACCAGCUGGCUGCAACUGUUUAUUAAAAACACAGCACUGUGCAAACACGAAAGUGGACGUAUACGGUGUGACGCCUGCCCGGUGCCGGAAGGUUAAUUGAUGGGGUCAGCGCAAGCGAAGCUCCUGAUCGAAGCCCCGGUAAACGGCGGCCGUAACUAUAACGGUCCUAAGGUAGCGAAAUUCCUUGUCGGGUAAGUUCCGACCUGCACGAAUGGCGUAAUGAUGGCCAGGCUGUCUCCACCCGAGACUCAGUGAAAUUGAACUCGCUGUGAAGAUGCAGUGUACCCGCGGCAAGACGGAAAGACCCCGUGAACCUUUACUAUAGCUUGACACUGAACACUGGUCCUUGAUGUGCAGGAUAGGUGGGAGGCUUUGAAGCGCGGACGCCAGUUCGUGUGGAGCCAUCCUUGAAAUACCACCCUUUAAUGGCUGGUGUUCUAACGUAGACCCGUGAUCCGGGUUGCGGACAGUGUCUGGUGGGUAGUUUGACUGGGGCGGUCUCCUCCUAAAGAGUAACGGAGGAGCACGAAGGUUAGCUAAUCCUGGUCGGACAUCAGGAGGUUAGUGCAAAGGCAUAAGCUAGCUUGACUGCGAGCGUGACGGCGCGAGCAGGUGCGAAAGCAGGUCUUAGUGAUCCGGUGGUUCUGAAUGGAAGGGCCAUCGCUCAACGGAUAAAAGGUACUCCGGGGAUAACAGGCUGAUACCGCCCAAGAGUUCAUAUCGACGGCGGUGUUUGGCACCUCGAUGUCGGCUCAUCACAUCCUGGGGCUGAAGUAGGUCCCAAGGGUAUGGCUGUUCGCCAUUUAAAGUGGUACGCGAGCUGGGUUUAGAACGUCGUGAGACAGUUCGGUCCCUAUCUGCCGUGGGCGCUGGAGAACUGAGGGGGGCUGCUCCUAGUACGAGAGGACCGGAGUGGACGCAUCACUGGUGUUCGGGUUGUCAUGCCAAUGGCACUGCCCGGUAGCUAAAUGCGGAAGAGAUAAGUGCUGAAAGCAUCUAAGCACGAAACUUGCCCCGAGAUGAGUUCUCCCUGAGACUUAGAGUCUCCUGAAGGAACGUUGAAGACGACGACGUUGAUAGGCCGGGUGUGUAAGCGCAGCGAUGCGUUGAGCUAACCGGUACUAAUGAACCGUGAGGCUUAACCUU